rnacentral:rRNA from 1 species
UUUAAAUGGGGAAUUGAUCGGUUUAGAAAUAGACCUUCCUUCGGGCAAUUUUCAAGGUGCUGCAUGGUUGUCGUCAGCUCGUGCCGUGAGGUGUUAGGUUAAGUCCUGCAACGAGCGCAACCCCUGUCACUAGUUGCCAUCAUUCAGUUGGGGACUCUAGUGAGACUGCCUACGCAAGUAGAGAGGAAGGUGGGGAUGACGUCAAAUCAUCACGGCCCUUACGCCUUGGGCCACACACGUAAUACAAUGGCCGGUACAGAGGGCAGCUACACAGCGAUGUGAUGCAAAUCUCGAAAGCCGGUCUCAGUUCGGAUUGGAGUCUGCAACUCGACUCUAUGAAGCUGGAAUCGCUAGUAAUCGCGCAUCAGCCAUGGCGCGGUGAAUACGUUCCCGGGCCUUGUACACACCGCCCGUCAAGCCAUGGAAGUCUGGGGUACCUGAAGUCGGUGACCGUAAAAGGAGCUGCCUAGGGUAAAACAGGCAACUAGGGUAAGUCGUAACAAGGUAACAC